rnacentral:rRNA from 1 species
UACGGAGGGUGCGAGCGUUGUCCGGAUUCACUGGGUUUAAAGGGUGCGUAGGAGGGCAGGUAAGUCAGUGGUGAAAUCUCCGAGCUUAACUUGGAAACUGCCAUUGAUACUAUCUGUCUUGAAUAUUGUGGAGGUGAGCGGAAUAUGUCAUGUAGCGGUGAAAUGCUUAGAUAUGACAUAGAACACCAAUUGCGAAGGCAGCUCGCUACACAAAUAUUGACUCUGAGGCACGAAAGCGUGGGGAUCAAACAGG